rnacentral:rRNA from 1 species
AUUGAACGCUGGCGGCAGGCCUAACACAUGCAAGUCGAACGAGUGGCGGACGGGUGAGUAAUGUCUGGGAAACUGCCUGAUGGAGGGGGAUAACUACUGGAAACGGUAGCUAAUACCGCAUACCAUCGGAUGUGCCCAGCUGGGAUUAGGUGGUGGGUGGGGUAACGGCUCACCAAGGCGACGAUCCCUAGCUGGUCUGAGAGGAUGACCGGCCAAACUGGAACUGGGCCAGGGUCCAGACUCCUACGGGAGGCAGCAGUGGGGAAUAUUGCACAAGGGGGGCAAGCCUGAUGCAGCCAGGCCGCGUGUAUGAAGAGGGCCUUCGGGUUGUAAAGUACUUUCAGCGGGGAGGCGUUACCCGAAGAAGAAGCACCGGCUAACUCCGUGCCAGCAGCCGCGGUAAUAC